AGUUAAUGAACUUGAAAUAAGUGUAUAUUUUGAAAAUAUAAAAUAGAAGAAUCAUCUUCUAUUAACUU
rnacentral:tRNA from 1 species